AGGAACUUAAGAUAAUAAAAACUAAAAGCCUUCAAAGCUUUAAAUGAGGGGGAAAAUCCCCCAGUUCCUG
rnacentral:tRNA from 1 species